AAAAGAAAAAGAAAGAAAGAAACCCAAUUCGAGAAACAAUCCCAUCAAACCAGAAAUACCAAAUCUUCAACUCAAAGUACUGCAAAUCAGUUACUCGUUCCAAGAAUCUCAAAGACAAAAAAUCGGUUACUCGUUCCAAGAAUCCCAAAGACAAAACAGGGAAAAAAGAAAGAAAGAAAGGUUCCCCUGGCUUAACCAACUAAAGUCGAAAAAGAAAAAGAAAGAAAGAAACCCAAUUCGAGAAACAAUCCCAUCAAAAAUCGGUUACUGUUCUAAGAAUCUCAAAGACAAACCAUCAGCCUACCGAAAACACAUAAAAGAAAGGUUCUUCUAAAUCAACUAACAGGGGGUGAAAAAAAAAUAGAAAGAAAGAAAGAAAGAAAGAAACCCAAUUCGAUAAACAAUUCCAUCAACCCAAAAAUACUAAAAUCUUGCUAAUAGGUUACUCAAAAUUCCAAAAAUCUC
rnacentral:lncRNA from 1 species